UACAGAGGUCUCAAGCGUUGUUCGGAUUCAUUGGGCGUAAAGGGUGCGUAGGCGGCGCGGUAAGUCGGGUGUGAAAUCGCGGAGCUUAACUCCGAAACUGCAUUCGAUACUGCCGUGCUUGAGGACUGGAGAGGAGACUGGAAUUUACGGUGUAGCGGUGAAAUGCGUAGAUAUCGUAAGGAAGACCAGUGGCGAAGGCGGGUCUCUGGACAGUUCCUGACGCUGAGGCACGAAGGUCAGGGGAGCAAACGGG
rnacentral:rRNA from 1 species